UACGUAGGGUGCGAGCGUUAAUCGGAAUUACUGGGCGUAAAGCGUGCGCAGGCGGUGAUGUAAGACAGGUGUGAAAUCCCCGGGCUUAACCUGGGAACUGCAUUUGUGACUGCAUCGCUGGAGUGCGGCAGAGGGGGAUGGAAUUCCGCGUGUAGCAGUGAAAUGCGUAGAUAUGCGGAGGAACACCGAUGGCGAAGGCAAUCCCCUGGGCCUGCACUGACGCUCAUGCACGAAAGCGUGGGGAGCAAA
rnacentral:rRNA from 1 species